UCUCCAAGGCCACCUUCAAUCUCUAGUCCUUCUCCCAAGACAGGAAGGGGACGUGGAGCAGGAAAAGAACGUGCGCGGCUCCCAGCUGUCGUCCACUUGCAUUUAGUGUAGCUGCCACCUAGCAAUUAACACGCCCGGGUUCUCCUUUGGAAAAGGAGCAGAGAAGAAUAAUACCACAGCAAGUCCUCCUGGACAAGAAAGCAGGUGAGUUCAGCAUGGAAAAAACAAGGUAAAUGAUCCCUUUUGCCAUUGUUUCUUACUGUUGGACAAACCACUAGCAAGGUGAGCCUCUAGGGCCUUGAAAGGGC
rnacentral:lncRNA from 1 species